GAACGCACAGGAUGCACCGUAGUUUACUACACCGUAUUCUGUGAGUUGCGAACGGGUGAGUAACGCGUAGGUAACCUGCCUGGUAGCGGGGGAUAACUAUUGGAAACGAUAGCUAAUACCGCAUAAGAACAUUUACUGCAUGGUAGAUGUUUAAAAGGUGCAAAUGCAUCACUACCAGAUGGACCUGCGUUGUAUUAGCUAGUAGGUGAGGUAACGGCUCACCUAGGCGACGAUACAUAGCCGACCUGAGAGGGUGAUCGGCCACACUGGGACUGAGACACGGCCCAGACUCCUACGGGAGGCAGCAGUAGGGAAUCUUCGGCAAUGGGGGGAACCCUGACCGAGCAACGCCGCGUGAGUGAAGAAGGUUUUCGGAUCGUAAAGCUCUGUUGUUAAGGAAGAACGAGUGUGAGAAUGGAAAGUUCAUACUGUGACGGUACUUAACCAGAAAGGGACGGCUAACUACGUGCCAGCAGCCGCGGUUAUACGUAGGUCCCGAGCGUUGUCCGGAUUUAUUGGGCGUAAAGCGAGCGCAGGCGGUUAGAUAAGUCUGAAGUUAAAGGCAGUG
rnacentral:rRNA from 1 species